AAGUAUGUUCGUAUGUGUGUGUGUUCAUUUUGACCAUCAAAUUAUUGUUACAAAAUAAAAAAAAGAGCUAAAAAGCCAAUUUAAGAGGGGAUCAUUAGUCUUUGUUCGAUAAUAACAUUUGCAAUAGAUACAUUUGUGGCCGAAUCGAAGCUGCUUUCUAUCUAUCGCCUAUCAGACGGAGCUUGCUGCUUUCUUGCUAUCACCAGAGAGGAGGGCCGCAAAUGUCCGCGGGGUGUUUUUUGGAAGAAGAGACUCAAAUAACUAAUACACCGUGUCCAUGGAACAUAGCCAUACGGGUAAUGAUUUGUAAUGCGACUUUGUUAUUGUUGCUGUUGUUGUUGGUGGAAAACACAAGCAACAAUUUCAUUACAUGUGGCCCUAAGGGUGUCAGUGACCGCCUGCCUGCCUAUCACUUGAAAAGUCAAGUCAACACGUGGAAGUGUCAAACCAGCAGGAGACAAUGUGUGUGUGUGUGUGUGUGUACUGCAUCCUGUCCUCUCUGCAAGAAACAAUGGAGCAGGAUAUAUUAAUGGUGGUCAUUUCUUUCACAAACCGAAUAGACGACGGCGAUGACAAUGGUAGCAAUAAGUCCUCAAUGGAAACCCUAAACAAACCAUCAUAAAUAAAAUGUUAAUACAUCACAAUCACAUCCCAAAAAUACAUCGACAAAAACUAUAGGCAGACAAUGCUGACAAGCUGAUAUGAGUGGAUAAGGUGGUGGUUUUCUUUUAGCUUCUUCAUAAAAUGCAAAGCAAAAAAUUAAUUUUAACAACAAACGAGGAAGAGAACAAAUUGGAGUAUUGUUUAAAACGCUAACAAACUAAUGUGCAUUUAUUUUUCAAUUUUGAUCAACAAUUGGUGAUACCGAGUGAACCCACAUUAUUUUCUAUUCUAUUUUUCUUCCCUCUGGAUGUUACAAACAAAUAACACCCGAUAUAGGUACGUCGAUCUAAUUGGGAAUAUAGAAAAUUCUGUAAUUAACAAAUGGGUUUUUUUUUUUCUACAAAUAAAUGACUCAUGGAUUGGCUAUGCCAAAGUUACAAUAGUCGGCGUGAGAAACAUACUUAAGAAGCCAACAAUUGGAUUUUAAGUCUUAUAAGUCAUUGCAUAUAUUGAACCUUCAACGGCUAUGUGGCUUUGACAUCUUUCAAUCCCUUCCCCAAGAACCAACCGAGUGCUAUAUGCCACGGAAUAGUUUUUAGGAACAUUACGUCAAAUCAAGUAGGAAUUUUCGUACAUCAACAUCAAAGCAGCGAGCUCAAUGAUCGAAGAUGCAAAUGGAAAAGGAAAGCCAAAGAUAGCAACACACACCAACCACUGAAAAAUUAGGCAGAGCCCGGCCAGGAUUCGAACCUGGGCACCCGGAGCAACAGCGAGAGCCAGCCAUUUAAUUUAUAAAAAUGAUUGAAUAAAUUUUUUAUUUAAUAAAAUACUUUUUU